rnacentral:rRNA from 1 species
UUCGACACACUAUCAUUAACUGAAUCCAUAGGUUAAUGAGGCGAACCGGGGGAACUGAAACAUCUAAGUACCCCGAGGAAAAGAAAUCAACCGAGAUUCCCCCAGUAGCGGCGAGCGAACGGGGAGGAGCCCAGAGCCUGAAUCAGUGUGUGUGUUAGUGGAAGCGUCUGGAAAGGCGCGCGAUACAGGGUGACAGCCCCGUACACAAAAAUGCACAUAUUGUGAGCUCGAUGAGUAGGGCGGGACACGUGGUAUCCUGUCUGAAUAUGGGGGGACCAUCCUCCAAGGCUAAAUACUCCUGACUGACCGAUAGUGAACCAGUACCGUGAGGGAAAGGCGAAAAGAACCCCGGCGAGGGGAGUGAAAAAGAACCUGAAACCGUGUACGUACAAGCAGUGGGAGCCUCUUAAUGGGGUGACUGCGUACCUUUUGUAUAAUGGGUCAGCGACUUAUAUUCUGUAGCAAGGUUAACCGAAUAGGGGAGCCGAAGGGAAACCGAGUCUUAACUGGGCGUUAAGUUGCAGGGUAUAGACCCGAAACCCGGUGAUCUAGCCAUGGGCAGGUUGAAGGUUGGGUAACACUAACUGGAGGACCGAACCGACUAAUGUUGAAAAAUUAGCGGAUGACUUGUGGCUGGGGGUGAAAGGCCAAUCAAACCGGGAGAUAGCUGGUUCUCCCCGAAAGCUAUUUAGGUAGCGCCUCGUGAAUUCAUCUCCGGGGGUAGAGCACUGUUUCGGCAAGGGGGUCAUCCCGACUUACCAACCCGAUGCAAACUGCGAAUACCGGAGA